rnacentral:rRNA from 1 species
GAUAGCUGGUUGCCUGCAAAACGAAUUUAAGUUUUUCCUUUAACCCCUUUCCCCCACAGACUAACCUAGCUCAAAUGUGAUAGUUAAGGGCUAUUUAAAGGGGGUACAGCCCCUUUAAAAAAGGACACAACCUCCACCAGCGGAUAACCCCAUACAUUCAGCCCUGUGGGCCUUAAAGCAGCCACCCCUAAAGAUUGCGUCAAAGCUCCAUCAACUAAAAACCCCAAAAACCAAUGCGACUCCCUACACCCCUAGCAAGCCAACCUAUAACAAUAGAUGAAUCAAUGCUAGAACGAGUAACCAGGGCACUGUACCCCCCCAAGCGCCAGCCUACACACCAUUAACAGCAAAACCUCAAUAACAACCACCCCCCCUCUACCCACCAUUGAAUAUACCCUGUCAAUCCAACUCAGGGGCGCACAUUGGAGCGAUCAAAGUCUACAAAAGGAACUCGGCAAACCUAAGACCCGACUGUUUACCAAAAACAUAGCCUUCAGCCAAACAAGUAUUGGAGGUGAUGCCUGCCCAGUGACAUCAUGUUUAACGGCCGCGGUAUCCUAACCGUGCAAAGGUAGCGCAAUCAAUUGUCCCAUAAAUCGAGACCUGUAUGAACGGCUAAACGAGGUCUUAACUGUCUCCUGUAGACAAUCGGUGAAACUGAUCUCUCUGUACAAAAGCAGAGAUAGACACAUAAGACGAGAAGACCCUGUGGAACUUCAAAAUCAAUAGCCACCCCACUCAACUCACAAACCCACUCCGGGCCCACCACCCAAAACACUGGCUAACAUUUUUAGGUUGGGGCGACCUUGGAGAAAAACAAACCCUCCAAAAACAAGGCCAAACUCCUUAACCAAGAGCAACCCCUCAACGUGCCAACAGCACCCAGACCCAGUAAAUCUGACCAAUGAACCAAGCUACCCCAGGGAUAACAGCGCAAUCUCCCCCAAGAGCCCCUAUCGACGGGGAGGUUUACGACCUCGAUGUUGGAUCAGGACAUCCUAGUGGUGCAGCCGCUACUAAGGGUUCGUUUGUUCAACGAUUAAUAGUCCUACGUGAUCUGAGUUCAGACCGGAGCAAUCCAGGUCGGUUUCUAUCUAUGACCAACCCUCCCCAGUACGAAAGGACCGGAAAGGUGGGGCCAAUACUUCAAGCACGCCCCCUCCUCAAGUGAUGCCCCCCACUAAAUCACCAAAGGACAACCACUACCUCCCCCCACGAAAAAGGUUGCUAGUGUAGCA